UUUUAUAUUGCAGAUGAGAUUUUUAUGAUAAUAAAACAUAUACAUUCAUCUAGCAACGUAGAUUUAAAAAAAAAGAAAAUUUACGUUUCGCCGUUUAUGUAUCCGAGUCAGUUUUUUAAAGUUUCUGUUGUCAGAGAUUAGUCGUGGCGAAUUCGCACUGGUGUGGUAAGGACAUUUGGUGUAAUUGAAGAUAUUUCACUGUAAACACUAGUUUAUAUAGCAACAACAGGUCAUUCUCCAAACUACCUGCUCUGAAUGCAUAGAAAUCCAGUGUAAAACUAGUUUUUCUUAAUGAACCUGCAAUGAUAGAACAGUAAACACUUUUCGAGUGUUUUCUAUUUAAUUACUUGGAUCUUAAUUAAGCCCAGCUGUCGUUGCAUUCAGCUCUUUUGACAUGAUAUAUAUUCUCACCACGAGCGAACUGUAGUCAGUACAAAACUUACAUAUAAAAAUACACUUUAGAAACAAAAUAAUUCUUAUAAAAAAACUACAUGAAUAUUAUAACGAUCGUUAGAAUAAAAUGGUAAUCCUGCAGGAUAGAGUCGGAAAUAACCUAUUGCCCCGCCGACUCGCAAUUUCUUGAGAUUUCUGUCUUAAACAUCGGAGAUUACGUGUAACAAAAAAAUUUUUUUGAAAUUCGAUUUAUUUGAAUUUUUGCCUCCACUUCCUUUCAGUAACUUUUCUUCACUCUUUUUUCGAAAUUUUUCCAAUUGUAGUAUGAAAACAGUGGUUUUUACGAUUUCAGAAAAACUUAAAUUUUCUGUAAUUUUAUUGAUGGAGUUUCGCAUUAAAACGCCUACACAUAA
rnacentral:lncRNA from 1 species